CAGCACUGGUGGGCGGGUGGUGGGAGGCUGGAAGGAUGCAGAUUGCAUGCUAUGAAACUGAUAGAUAGCUGUAAGAACAGAGGGACACAGUCAAGCGCAAAGGAGACUCAAUACCACACCGCAAGGUUUCAUGUGGGUCUUGGGUUGAAUGAUUAUAAGAACCACUUCAUUAAACAGAUCCCGCUAGGGAGCGGUGCCUAACAGCAUCUCAGUAAUGAGGACGUCCACAGCCUACCGCCGCUCUCCUGCCUACAACUACAGCAGCAUCUGCUCUGUGGCACCCGGCGCAUCAGAUUAUUCAAGUUUUUGCGAUUCUCUUCAAUGAUAGAGACAGCGGGGAAGACAGAAGGGGUGACCAUGUGACAGUGUAACUGUGGACUCAUGAGGAAUGCAGUCAGACACAGUGGUUGUCUCUGUGUGAAUCAGGCAGCAUGGAGAAGGCCUGUGACAUUGAUCUUGCCUCACCACUGGAAUCUUCUUCCUCGUUUUCUGCACUAUCAGCAUGACAAAUGAGACUGUCUUGGCCGAAACAUGCAACGAACAAAGAGACGUUUCUAACUUGGAAAAUUAAGUGUAGUGUCUUUCCUAUACGCAUGAUCCGUCUGAGAUCAGUACAAAAUGAAGUAAGAAGCAUUUCCUCAAGGAAAAUGUAAAUGAUUGUAAAGUGAUUGCUGACAUGUAAAACAUUUUAUUAACAACAUAGCUGUUUAUAUCAUAAUUAUAAGCAUAUACACCGUCAGUACUGAGUGUUUUGAGAAUUUGCACUGUUUACAAGUGGUGUGUUAUGAAUAAAAUGCAACUGAGGGACCCUU